CAUUUUCAUCAAGUAGUUUGAAACAAAAUAUUUCUUUAUAAUAAUUUCUGGACGCCACAAUUAAACAUUUUUUGCAUGGGUGAUUAUCAUCCAAUAAACCUGCUGUGGUCAGUAUUUCUGAAGAUUGUCUUGUUCUCUUAUUUUCCAUCACCACAUAAUGUUCUAAAAUUGAUGCACGUAAUUUCUGGGGAAGGCCUACAUCAGUUCCACUUCCAUCUGAAAAAAAUAGCUUGUUUGUCUUGUCUUGAGUGACAAACUGUUUCGGGCGAACAAUUUGAAAACACAAUUUGUACAAGGCUGCGUAAAGCCGGACGAUCGCUUGGUUGUGCGUUGAAGUUUUGGACCCUUUGUUUUCAACCGCGCCACUUUCGGCCUGCCUGGCUUGAAGGAGCUACGGCGGGGACAAACUGGCAGCAUCACUUCUAUUCCGGCCCGUCGCGAGCGCAUUCGACCAGGUUUAUUAGCCCGUUGCUUGACACCCGCGCCCCUCCCAACUUCCCGCAAGAUCCCCCUGAUCAGAGCUGCAUUGUGCUCUGCGCGGAGCAGCCGUGCCCGGGCCGUGUUUUGCAGCAGUAUUGUACGACAUUUCGCGAGGAUGGGCGUGAGCUUUUCACCCACUUCGCUUGCAACACGGGCCACGCUCGACCGACGGGCGCGCUGAAACUCCGGCGAGGUCAGGCGGGGGGCAUAUUUUCGUUCACAGAAUGUAGCUCGGUUGUGCGUCGAAGUUUUCUGCCCUUUGUGUUACAGGGUCCAUUGUUUGUCCACAGUGUCGACCCUCCCUUUUGAUUUUGCGCCCGGGACCUAACCGAUGCUGUUGCUUGGCCCGGCCAGAGCUGCCACGGCAAAGACAUCCUUUCUGGGACUGGGUUUCGGCUCCUCGUCUGGGGGAUGAGGGUUGAAGCGAAUCCCAGAGGAGAGAGGACUACUCUUGGUGGUAAGUAGGGCGGCGGUGUCCUGUACGUACUUAAACUCCGCAUCGACACUCUAGGUGAGUGUUUGCGCGCCGGGUUUGUAAAGACGGAGUUCGGGGUGGUCUUUAAACCUGUUUUUAAUUGAAACCCUCUCAGGACAGGUGUUGUAGUUUGGUUCGAACGCCUGGUUCGAGACCCUAUGUGAGCCUGAGAGGGGUUUGUUGAGAAGGAACUCUUUCAACGGUGAUUGAGUGUUUGCGCGCCGGCAAAAAGACGUGGUCUUUUUAAGCCGCAAAGCCCUGAGGCAUACUAGUCCCUAUCAGAUACAGACCGGCAAGUCUCAUAAACUGGUGAGGGCGACGGUGUCCUGCACGUGCUUAAACUCUGUGUGUAAAUAAUGUGUAUUAAACCCCGGGUAUAAAUAAUGUGUAUAUAGUGCGUUACCUCUGGUCAAGGUAAUAGGAUGAAACCAAAUUAAAUGCGCAUAAAUGAAUGACUGUGUAACUGUGUGAGUGGAGGUUCGCUACCUCAUCUGAACAGGACAUUUGUUGUGGCAACUGUCUGAGGAAGCAGAUGCAAGAAUUUCCCGCCACCUUGGUGGUAGAAGGUUGGAAAUUACCUCAGUCGGAGAAAUUGCCACCCUUUUCAAGGGAAUAGUCAGCCUAGUUACCCUAGGUAAAUCGCUGACUCUAAACAAAAAUUCUCAAAUUCUCAAAGUUCCACCCUCAAAUUCGCAAUGGGGGUUCAUAAUAGUAAGACCGUGGAGAGAGGUGAUCCCAAAAAGAAGUUAACAUGUAAGGACUGGAGAUUCGUAGAGAGCCAAUGUCCUUCGAAGAUAAAACAUUUAGAUACGUGGAUAGAAAAAUACAAAUUCGCUGGACAGCUGAAUAUACAAACGUUGAUGCGCCUGCAGGAUGAUAUUAGAUCAAUGUGCAAGAAUGACAAAACGAAAAUGGAUAAGGAUGGGUUUGGAGACAUUGAUUUCUGGGUGUCCUUGGCUGAAAAGAGGCGGAAAGUGAAAGUAAAGAGGGGUUUAGAGAAAGUGGAAAGAGGGGAUUGUGUAAGUGAAAAGAAUGAGGGAGACGUUAUGUUUCACAGGAAAGAAGAUGAUGAAUCGGGUCCGGUAGGUAUACUGACAGGGGGAAAAACAGAAAAAGAAAGAGAAAAUGCGUUGGAGAUGGCAUCCACAAAUACUGUUGUUACACCAUCAUCUUCCGACAUCUCCUUUUCCACCAUUAUUUUUUAAUAAGUAAUAAUUCUUAUUUGUUGGUGUCAUGGGGCAGAAGGCCGCAUUUCCCGUGACUGUCCCAAGAGUAAAUUUGUAAGUGCACGACAAGACAUUACUGCUUCUCAGCAAAAGAUAGCAACUUUCCUUGUUGACUUCGUGAUGGAAGGAAGUUUCCUUUUGAAGGAACACGGAAAGUGAUAGCGGCUUGUUUGACAGUAAAUUGAUGGUGUAUACUGUAGCGAUAUUUGGAUGGGGUGACGUUUUCUCACGGAUGACAAAAUUAAAAGUUUGGAUGUGCUUAACUUGGUUGUGAGCGGUAGCAAGGUGAAUAUUUUGGUUUGUCUGUAGGUUUGUGUCUGCGAAUAUGUGUUGGAUUAGUCUUUGCGUGUGGGUGUGUAGAUAAGCGUGACUCUUGGCGCGACUCAUGGAGUCUUGUUUGUUUUGUUUUCUGGCUUUUGCAGUGUAGAAGGUUUGUAUGGCAUCUAUUAUAAUUACCGGUACUUGUAAUUGUAACUGUUUUUAUUAUAAUUCCUAAUGCCACUUCAGCUUCAUUAUUUCAACCGGCGCUACAUGAAGUAUGUGUAAAUCAGGUAAAGAAAUAAAAUGGUUGAGUAUGGGUGUGGUGACACAGAGUUUUGGAUACUUAUAGUGGUGAAAGGCAAGUGAAAAUAUUGAUGGUGGGGCGUAAGGUGAUGAUGGAAGUUGAGUAUGUUGAGAAUAAAGGAAGGCACAGGCAGGUGGGGUUUGACACAGUGAUGCUACGAAUGAGGAGGUCACCGUGUGUUUAGGUUGAAAAGGGCCGGAAGGUCACGAGAUGCUUAGAUGGUUGUUUGUAAGUCGUAAACACAGUUUUUGGUUGUGUUGAGUGGUCGUCAGUGGACAUGUGUGGGACGUUGUUAACUUUCUGGGAGGAGUUAGAAUGUGUAAGUAUACAGUGAAGGCCUUGAUCUGGAUGAUUUGUGAAUGUUAAUGUCUGUGGGUUUCAAUUAUCUUAUUUGUUUUCUAAAUGCUUCUGUUAUGCUGCUAAUUGCCAGAAUGUUCCGAUUAUGUUCCAAUGUUUUUUUAGAUUACGUUCAUAAGAUGCACAUUUCUCUUGAAACAUGAGAAGAGCCAUCACGGCUCCUGAUGUGGGAGAAAUUAUGGUCUUGUCUCAUGAAAUUUUGUAAAUUCAGUUACAACUUUACUAUCCGUAUUGUGUUGUGCCUUCCGUCAUUAUGAAAUUUAAUGACUAGAGUUGAAGCUAUCGUCGAACAUACAAAUUCUUGUUGGUUUGAGUCAUUAAAAAAACCCGUCAGAUUUUAAGACAUGUCUCAUUUGUGCAUACACUGGCUGGAGUUCUAAUUUCGUUCGUCACAAGAGCAAAAUCUUCCAGCUUUAAUCAGCAUGUUUCAGGGUCACGUGUGAAUAAUUUACAAUUGGCUUCGUUAACUUAGUAUGACUGCACGUUUUAAGGUCAACUGUGGCAUUUUUGAGAAUCACGCACCCUUGGUGGUGUUUACCAAAGACAGUUGUGGCAUAGAUGAGCCUUUUGGCAGCCUUGAGCAGUGUUUGGUGUGAACUCUGCAUGCUGGAAGAGUGCUAGGGAAAAAAAAAAAAAAAGAAAAAGGGAUGAGCUGUUGCACACUAGCAUGACAUUUUUUUUGUCGCCUGGUUGGAAUUUAUUUUGUGUGUCUAUGUUGUUAUGUCGAUCCCCUUUACCGCUGGAAAAAUGCACACUGCUUAACCGUGCUACUUUGUUAUUGCUUCCUGAUGGGUGUUUGUUUGUUUGUUUGUUUGUUGGAAUGUAAACAGGUAAUAGUGAUUUGAGAGGUUGUAGGGGGAAGUACAACUAACUAAUCUCAUCUUAUCUCCCGUUUUGUGUGUGUGUUGAUUUGUUUCAUAUUAAUAUUGCAAUAACAUGCAUGACGGGCUGAUUGGAAACUCUAUAUUGUCCCUAGGUUUGGGCAUGGGCUUGGGUGGUUGUGCUUGUGUCUGUGUGCCCUGUAAUUGGUUGGCGACCGGUUCGGGUUGUCCCCCUCCUACUGCCCGGAGAUGGCUGGAAUAAGCUCCUCGCACCCCCGCGAACCUCGUGAGGAUGAAAGCGGAUCGGACAUUGAAUGACUGAAUGUAUUGCUUCAUAUAGUGAUGGGUCGUUUUUUUGGGUACAUCUCGGUUUAACGGGCGAAGGGAGGAAUCUAGAUAUAAACAAGCGCGUUUUGCUGGCUAUAUUUAGGUAGGCUUGUGCGACUUUCGGUUUGUGCACGAACUGUUUGAGCAUAAACUGGAGCAUAUUUAUGCGUCGCUUUUCAAAAUUGGUGCCCCGUUACAUUACGGCAUCUCAUCAGUUUAUUGGCUUAAAACUGAUUUGUAUAGUUAUUUUGCGGUUUGCUUUUGAACCUCUUUUUGGAAACAGCGGGUGGGUCGCACAUUUUCUGGUCAGCAUGGUGGCCAACGGCGAUCUUGAUGUCCAAGUCGUCAGGGUCCGUACUGUCGAGCGACUCGAGAUUUGACGUGCGAUGCCUGCAGCAGGAGCUCAUUUGGCUUUUCUUUCUAAUGCUUGAAGGUCUUUUUGACAAGGACAUGGAAAAUUUCUUUUUACUUUCUUUGUUAAGGUCGCGGUUGUUGUGAAUGUGCCUUGUGAAGUGGAGUAUGUUGUAUAACACGUGAAGUAUUGUUGAUUCAGUGUGACGAAUGUUGGUCGUUUUUGUAUCAAGUUGUGAUAUUUACGCGGCUCACACGGCAGUGAUUUAUUUUGACUGACUAACAGCAACAUGAUAACGUUUUGGGUUCAGUUCACUUCUGUUUUAUAUGCGGCAACAAAUUGGGCAGUGAACCCUAACUUCUUUUUUGUGUCAUGGAUUAUCUCACGCAUUGGCAGGCGGAAUGGUGUCUCUGGUUCUGAAACAUGAUACAACCUAUGGUUUUAACCAAUGUUGGAAUACGGUACAUUUUGAACUACAUCUCCAUUUCAGAUAAUGUAGAUGGUUUUCGUUGAAUUAAUGAGGGGAUGCCAUAUUGCCGGGGUUUGGUUGAGGCUUUUCCAAAAUGGGUCGAAAAUUGAUCAAAUGGAAUGCAUGUUUCACAUUUUAUUUGAGACACUAUUGCUCCUGCCAUCCACAAUCUGCAGGAUUGGUAGCAAGUCUGAAAGUAUAUGGUUAAAACUCAAUUAAAGAAAUUGAAUUGAAAUUGAAUUGACUUAUAUGUUAAUAUUACGAGAAUGAUGUUUUCUUCUUUGUUUGAAAUAUUGUUUGGGAGACCAUAUAACUUACUGAUAAUUUCUACAAAAUUGUGAACUAGGAAAUGAAGCUGAUUCGGUUGACAAUAUGUGAGAACGUUUAGAAAAAAAAAAAUGAACUGAGAUUGCCGUAGGACGAUUGUGCUUUUUCACAGCCGGUUCCAGCAGACAUGGCUCUGAUUCGAAACAUGAAAAAACAUUGUGUUUCCUUGAAGUGUUGAUGACCACACCGUUUGAUGGACAUUGUAAAAAGGUCAUCUCGACAGAAACAUCCACUGAGGAAAGUGAGCGAAGUCCGGUGACGCGAUGGGCACAGUAUUUUAGUUACUGGGAACAUCAAACGACCGGCGGAAGAAGUUUCGAGACACCUUUGCACUCAUUUAGGGUGUGUUUCUGUCGACAUGCUAGAAUAUCAGUGGUGGCAUGUCAUUUCCUGUUAUACGAUCACACUAACACAUGGUCGACUGUUCUCCUUUUUUUAUAUGGUAAUUUUGUGCUCUCCUUUAGCACAUGUGAAUGGGGAUGUAUUUUUUAAAUAAUAACCUACAUUUUGCGAAUGGAUCUAGACCAGGGGUGUCAAACUCAUCUUUGGGGCCGCUUUGGGGUUACACCUUCCUUCGAUGGGCUGGUACGACGGAGAAAUUUGAUUAAAUGGUUAUAUUUUAUUAAUUGUACAACUCAACUCAACUGUGUUUAUAGAGUAACUUGAAUCAACCAAUUCUGUAUACAAAGAUAUGUACAUGGAGUGGAUAUAUCAGAAAUACAAUGAUGAAAUUAUUUACUAACAACUACAUAUGAAUGAAUUCUGUCAAUUCUGAAGUCAGUAUUAUUCUACCACCAUGAGUGGUAGAAAAGAGCAGAACUUGUUUUAUUUGGGUUUGUUUUGGAGGUUGAAGUGAUUUGUGUACUGUGCUCCUCUGGUGAUGUUGCUCGGCUGGAAUUGAAUUUAUUGCCGUUUAUUGGUUUAUUUCUAGUUCAAAUGGUGCAUUAAUUUGGUCCGUAAUGGUUCAGAUAUGGAUUUUAAAUACAUUUCUUAGGUGAUUUUAUGCGUUUAGGAUCUUUUCUUUGGUGGUAAAAGGGAAAAGGAAAACAACCCCACGGUGAUGUAGUUAUUCUCUGCAGAAAGUUGAGCUACAUUUCAUUCUUUUGUUAUUUUAUUUUUAUUUUAUGUUACUGCGGAUACAGUGUGAUGCAGUAGUGUACUUCUACUGAUUUUGAAGGCAAAUGAUGGUUAUCGCGGACGAGAGUUUUUCAUUUUCUGAUGUCUGCGCAUUGGUAUCACUGCUUUUGCCAGUAACUGUGUUUCCAUCAACAGCGGAGGAUAUACAGGGGGCUGCGUUAUCGUCGAUGACGGGGAAUAGCCUUCUCCGGUUCCGGCGUGACGCAUCCUGGAGGGAUGGCGAUCCCACCUAUAUAGACGCAUUUGGGGUUCCUCGUGGCGUGCCAGAUGAGUAUAAGUUGGUUAACCAGAUUGCUGCCGGUUGGGAAUCCAUUUUCAUUUGGGUUACCCCUAAUAAGAAUGUUGACAGGAUCAACUACCUCCACUACAAUGUCCAGAAGCUCGGAAAUUUUACUGAGGAAGCCGUUUUGGCUAUAAAAGAGCAAUUGGCAGCCACCUCCCUGAUGGCGUUUCAGAACCGCAUCGCGGUUGAUAUGCUCUUGGCAGAGACCAAUGGAGUAUGUGCGAUGUUUGGUGACCAGUGUUGUACGUUCAUACCUAACAACACCGCGCCUGAUGGUGCCCUCACCAAGGCCAUUGAAGGCCUCCGCACCCUGGAUCACCAAAUAAGGGCCCAUUCCGGCGUGAAUACGUCCUUCUGGGCGGGGUGGUGGCAUAAAGCCUUCGGAGAGUACAAGGAUUUGGUGUGUUAUGUACUAAUCUCUUUUGCUCUUUUUGCAGCUGUCUUGACGUUGUGUGGAUGCUGUUGCAUUCCCUGUAUCAGAGUGCUGCUUAUCCGGCUUAUUACUACGGCUGUCGCGCCCACGACGUCUAAAGUGAAUGAGAUGUAUCCGCUGUUGUUGUUUGAUGGCAGUGAUUCUGAGGUUGAUUAUGCCUCUUCGGAUGAUGACGUGAUUUCGCUUUGGCAUCAGGGGGUUAUAGAUGGUUUUUAGUCGUUUUGCUCCCUCCUUAGGUGUAACUAUGUUUGCCUGUGCGGCAUGACUCCACUGAAUAAAGUCCGUCGGGAAGGUUCUGUGUGAUGAUACGAGCAAAUGUAGGAUGAACAGGGGGGAAUGUUGGAUUUAUUAUUUUUUAGUAAUCAUACAUUCACGUAUUAUUCGGUUGAUUCUCGUGUCAUCAAUUUAUGCUUGCAAUGAAGAAUGCUUCUACCUGUCAGUAUAGUUUGAUUUUGCUUGCAAAGAAGAACGCUUAUGCUUGCAAUCAUUAGUUGGCUUUGCCUGCAAUGAAGAACGCUUAUGCUUUCAAUAAAGAUAUAUCCUUUAUUAUUUACUCACAUCUAUAAUCAUUAUAUAUUCUUCAUUAUGUGCUCACUUUUGCUUGCUGUACUGUGUGAGAGGUUAGGGUCGCAACCACCUUUCCGAGGACAUGGCUGGGAAGAGGUAACUGUUAAGACUAAACAGCGAGCAAGGCUGAACCGGGAAUGGAGACAUCAACACCAGCUGCAACGGAAUGUUUAUGUGACAUUUGCACACAUGUACGUAAAUUGCACUCACGUACACACACAUAGUCAAACAAGUUCAGUGUGUGUUCAACAGCCCCCACCCUUUAGGUUGGACACACCUAUGUAGUAGCUUUCCCAAUAAAUGAGGAGGUGAAGGGGGAGAUCGUUAGGGUUACGUGUGGAGAACUGAAACCGAACGCUUCUCCUCGUUCCCUCCUGGUACCAGAA